GAUGAACGCUGGCGGCGUGCCUAAUACAUGCAAGUCGAGCGAACAGACGCUGCGCUUGCUCCUCUGACGUUAGCGGCGGACGGGUGAGUAACACGUGGAUAACCUCCCUAUCAGACUGGGAUAACUUCGGGACACCGGCGCUUAUACCGGAUAAUAUAUUGCACCGCAUGGUUCAAUAGUGAAAGACGGUUUUGCUGUCACUUAUCGAUGGAUCCGCGCCGCAUUAGCUAGUUGGUAAGGUAACGGCGUACCAAGGCAACGAUGCGUAGACGACCUGAGAGAGUGAUAGGCCACACUGGAACGGAGACGGGGACCAGACUCCUAAGGGAGGGAGCAGUAGGGAAUGGUCCGCAAUGGGCGAAAGCUUGACGGAGCAACGCCGCGUGAGUGAUGAAGGUCUUCGGAGCGUAAAACUCGGUUAUGAGGGAAGAACAAAUGUGUAAGGAAAUAUGCACGUCGUGACGGUAACUAAUAAGAAAGCCACGGCUAACUACGUG
rnacentral:rRNA from 1 species